ACAUUAUAUAAUUUAGUUAUCUCCAUAUAUAUUCUACUCUACUCCACAGGCCUACUACGCAGCUGAAUAUCUUACAACGAUGAACAGAUUCAUUCUUUCAGCCGUACUGUUGGUGGUUAUGGUGUGCCACGCGACCAGCCAAUCACUGACACCUCAGCAAUCAACUGUCACUAUACAGUACAUGGAGGGUGACACGGCUAUCUUGCCAUGUUCUCUGAGCCGUGAAGGACGAUAUUCGUAAGGGAAGACAACCCUUCGGUACUUAUAUAAGCUUCAGAAAUGAUCUAUGGAUCGCAGUUGCUGUAUUUUUUUUUCUCGACACUGUGGCUGCCGCACGGGAGACGACAGAAAACUGUAGAAAGUAGAUGUUAAUUAAAAAUGGGAGAGUGGCGAGGAUGGCUACCACCAGAGGAGGCUCGUCAUGGUUUGUAGAACUGCUUCCCCCCCCCCUCUCCCCCCCCCCCCCUCUCUCUCUCUCUCUCUCUCUCUCUCUCUCUCGACAAGACAAGACAAGACAAGACAAGACAAGACAAGACAAGACAAGACAAGACAAGGCAAGACAAGACAAGGCAAGACAAGACAAACGUUCCUAAAAAGGUGGAAAUAAUGCGAAGUGCACUGAGUCGUGCAUUGAGAUCGGAAUUUCGAUUAUCGGUAUGAACUUUGUACAUACACGACUACUGCCAUUGUAAUAGAUUGCUAGGACUGGACAAAUCUCUCCCUGCCAUAAUAAAUAUUAUAUGAAUAAA